AAUCCGAGAAUUUCACCUCCAACAACGAAAUAGCAACGCCCCCGAUCGUCUCUAUCGAUCAUUACCUCGGACCCGCAGACCGACGCACGGACCGAGGUCCUAUCGUGUCAUCCCAUGCUGACAUAUGCAGAGCGCACGCCUGCUUUAAACACUCUAAUUUACUCAAAGUGACAACGCACGACCCACGUCCCGAGCAGUGAAGCCCAGGAGCGCAUUUCGUGCAACAAGACGCACCGCACCGAUACACAUUCUCGAAGAACGGACCAGCGGGCACGCCCGAAGUACGACUACGAGCUUUUUAACCGCAACAACUUAAAUAUACGCUAUUGGAGCUGGAAUUACCGCU
rnacentral:misc_RNA from 1 species